rnacentral:rRNA from 1 species
UACGUAGGGGGCUAGCGUUGUCCGGAAUCAUUGGGCGUAAAGAGCGCGUAGGCGGCCAGAUAAGUCCGGUGUGAAAGUCACAGGCUCAACCUGUGAAUGCCGCUGGAAACUGUCUGGCUUGAGUCCGGAAGGGGCGAGUGGAAUUCCUGGUGUAGCGGUGAAAUGCGCAGAUAUCAGGAGGAACACCAAUUGCGAAGGCAGCUCGCUGGGACGUUACUGACGCUGAGACGCGAAAGCGUGGGGAGCAAACAGG